rnacentral:hammerhead_ribozyme from 1 species
AUCCAUCUGACGAGUCCGAAAUAGGACGAAAGAUUCAUCCUGGAU